GGUUCAUUCAAAUUUCUGCCCUAUCAACUUUCGAUGGUAAGGUAUUGGCUUACCAUGGUUUCAACAGGUAACGGGAAUUAGGGUUCGAUUCCGGAGAGGGACCUGAGAAACGGCUACCACAUCCAAGGAAGGCAGCAGGCGCGCAAAUUACCCAAUCCCGACCGGGGAGGUAGUGACAAUAAAUACUGAUACAGGGGCUUUUUGGGUCUUGUAAUUGGAAUGAGUACAAUUUAAACCUCUUAACGAGGAACAAUUGGAGGGCAAGUCUGGUGCCAGCAGCCGGGGUAAUUCCAGCUCCAAUAGCGUAUAUUAAAGUUGUUGCAGGUAAAAAGCUCGUAGUUG
rnacentral:rRNA from 1 species